UACGGAGGGUCCAAGCGUUAUCCGGAAUCAUUGGGCGUAAAGCGCGCGUAGGUGGUCAUGUAAGUCCGCUGUGAAAGUCAAAGGCUCAACCUUUGAAAGCCGGUGGAUACUGCAUGACUAGAGUACGGAAGAGGCGAGUGGAAUUCCUGGUGUAGCGGUGGAAUGCGCAGAUAUCAGGAGGAACACCAAUAGCGAAGGCAGCUCGCUGGGACGUUACUGACACUGAGGCGCGAAAGCGUGGGGAGCGAACAGG
rnacentral:rRNA from 1 species